GGCAGUCAAAGCCCGAACACUCCCAGAGCAUGGUGCCAGGCGGCGGCCCAGAAAUUCAGCGGAGGCAUCGGCUCCAAAUUAUGUGCUCUGUUAAAUGUCGGGGAGGCUGAGAAAGCAGCUCAAGCCCCAGAUAAAGCAGAAGAUGGGUCUACAGCCGAGAGCUGCGGCUG